GCCUGCUGAAUUGGUGAUACCAUUUGCUCUCCUUCAUCUGUCCCUCUAUCCAUGCUCAUCUCCACCAUUUGAAUGACAUGGAGAGCAAAGACGAGCAGCUGAAACAGAGAAGACAGGAGAUUUUCCUCUUCAAAGCGAUAUAGCUGAUUUUGCAGCUCCUCCAGUACACUGAGAGCAAGCAGGACUUCAGGAGCAGAUGAUUCUGCCCUUUGACUGAACAUCAGCCGACAUGACAGGACUCGAGCCCGUACUGUGUGUGCUGUCACUUGGCUUGAACAAAAGCUACAGAUGUGGAGGAAGUGGAUCAAGAAAGAGAGAAGAGAGAUGCCAUGUAUGUCUGAGACAAGAAUCAAACAGAAGAUAUUGCUGGU